rnacentral:sRNA from 12 species
AGCCUUAUAUUUUAGAUAUAAGGGUCGGAGAUUGCUGUCAACUGUGACUCGAAUAAUUCUAUCCAGAAUAUCGAA